rnacentral:lncRNA from 1 species
GAUCUCAAGAACCUAGAGAGGAAGCAAAUCUAAUAGCUACCACCUUUGUAGUGAAUUUUUAAGUCAAAAUAAUAGUUUCUAGUCAGUCAUCUCUAGAAUUCUGAUUCUAAGAUUUCAGCCAGAGAAUUAGGAUGAUACUAAAGCAGGUCUAAGCAUUCUUUUUUUUUUUUUUUUCCAUUCUUAGUAUCGUGCUAUCCCUCAUUCCUGUGCC